AUUGAACGCUAGCGGGAUGCUUUACACAUGCAAGUCGAACGGCAGCGCGGACUUCGGUCUGGCGGCGAGUGGCGAACGGGUGAGUAAUGUAUCGGAACGUGCCCAGUAGCGGGGGAUAACUACGCGAAAGCGUAGCUAAUACCGCAUACGCCCUACGGGGGAAAGCAGGGGAUCGUAAGACCUUGCACUAUUGGAGCGGCCGAUAUCGGAUUAGCUAGUUGGUGAGGUAACGGCUCACCAAGGCGACGAUCCGUAGCUGGUUUGAGAGGACGACCAGCCACACUGGGACUGAGACACGGCCCAGACUCCUACGGGAGGCAGCAGUUGGGAAUUUUGGAAAAUGGGGGCAACCCUGAUCCAGCCAUCCCGCGUGUGCGAUGAAGGCCUUCGGGUUGUAAAGCACUUUUGGCAGGAAAGAAACGUCGCGGGCUAAUACCCCGUGGAACUGACGGUACCUGCAGAAUAAGCACCGGCUAACUACGUG
rnacentral:rRNA from 1 species